CUUAAAUGAAAACCAGACGCACAGCCCUGUUUGGUCUGGAUGGAAGCAGUGGGGAAUAUGAUGUCACAAACCUGGAGUGAGAUUCUCUUCUCACCUCCCUCCUUCCGUUUCUUCCUCCAUCUCUAAAGGACCCUUUUUGGAUAAUCUGGCUAUUCAGAGAUCUGGAUAUUUGUUUCAAAAGGGAUUAAACAUUGACAUUCUGGAAAGACACCAGGCCUUCCAGAUGAUCCGUGGCAUUGGACAGACGAGUGACGUGGCCAAUGGAUCUCACACCCGGACCCAACACAAGAGCACUUACGGCCGGUGGUAGCUGGUCCGCUGCAGGAAAAUGAGGUACGGGAGGUCCCUCCACCCCCCCUGGACAUCGGGGGGCCCCCGGUGUACACAGUCCGGUCCAUCUUGGACUCCAGACGCUGGGCGAGGGGCCUGCAGUACCUCGUGGACUG
rnacentral:lncRNA from 1 species